UCGGUAUUCCCAAUGAAGCUGUUUAAUUCCAUUCCAGUUAACACAAAUCCUCCUUGUGAAAAGGGUGUGUAUGUGUCUCCUUGGAAAAUAAAGGAUUCUUUUUUAGUGACAGGAGAUGUAUAGGAAUGAACUGUGUUCUGUUUGGUUACCGAGAAAAAUGGAGGAGGAAUUUAAAGAGAAGACGAGGCUUGAAGAAACCCUAACUAAAAUUAGUUCAUUUUUUUCCGGGACAAUAGGGCGGAGUUUUAUCGAGAAAAUGUCGGUUUCCCCCUCGAAGAUCGGAGUUGGCCCUAGGUUCAAUAAGAAGAUCCUCGAUCCUUUUCUCCAAAUCCUCCACAGGUCACUGCCUUUCUGUCUCGGUUGAUUGGGAUUUUGUGAUAUUUGAACUUUCUAGGAUGACAUUGAGGAUGCUUUCGUAUAUGUUGUUGAUCAAAGCAGGCACUAUCUGAGGUCUAAUAGUUUAAUGCAAGCAGAGUAAUCAAGGCCUUUCUCUAGACAUCUGGCUGGCAAGGAUAGAUUGGUUCUAGAUGACAUUGAAAUGCAAGUCACACAACUAUUGAAAAAUGUAAUUUGGGUGAAAUACACUUCAGUUUCCAACUCUAUCCCCUAUUUCCCUUCUGGUUUUUGUAUAUUACAUUGUCCAGGUCGAAAUUGCAUUGGAUAAGAUCCUGAAUCAUGAAUACCGGCUUAUGCAGCAUCGACAUGGCAUCUAACUUCACGAACUACAUAAAUUUGAAGGCAAUCUCUUCUAGGAUCAGUUUAAUUUUUUACUGUACAACUGUCUGAAUUCCUAUCCAAUGAGAAUCUUGCUUCCAUAGACUAACUGCUGCAGAGUUCCCUUGUAAAACAUCUUAGUUCCACCAUGUUGCCUGGAAGAUGUAUGUACUCAUUUCCUGGUGAAAACAAUCACAGCUUUUUAUCUGUUUUUGAA